rnacentral:lncRNA from 1 species
CUGUUGGGACCUGGAGAUCUUCUGACAGAGCCCUGUGAGCUGAGCAGCUCCAGCAGGUGGAUCUCCAUGAAUUACCAAGGGAUGUAAAGACUUAGAAGAGAGUUACAAGAGGAAAUGUAAAACCAUCCAUUUUUACCAAAAUUAAAUGUGCAAAAGGCUACAUAUCGGAGGGAUGAGGACAGGAAAGAAUAAGAGGUAAAUAGCAAAU